rnacentral:rRNA from 1 species
AGUAAGGAAUAUUGGUCAAUGGACGAAAGUCUGAACCAGCCAUGCCGCGUGGAGGAUGAAGGUCCUCUGGAUUGUAAACUUCUUUUAUAUGGGACGAAAAAAGGCUUUUCUAAGUCGUCUGACGGUACCAUAUGAAUAAGCACCGGCUAACUCCGUGCCAGCAGCCGCGGUAAUACGGAGGGUGCAAGCGUUAUCCGGAUUCACUGGGUUUAAAGGGUGCGUAGGUGGAUUGCCAAGUCCGUGGUGAAAUCUUCGAGCUUAACUCGGAAACUGCCAUGGAUACUGGUGAUCUUGAAUAUCGUGGAGGUUAGCGGAAUAUGUCAUGUAGCGGUGAAAUGCUUAGAUAUGACAUAGAACACCAAUUGCGAAGGCAGCUGGCUACGCGAAUAUUGACACUCAGGCACGAAAGCGUGGGGAUCAAA